rnacentral:lncRNA from 1 species
UGUUUCUGAGCUCUGGACGGAGUUCUCCGAAAUUGAUUUUUCUGGAACAGGUUUUGUUAGCAGUGAUGAAUUUAAAGACAUCCUUAUGAGUCUCUGUGUUCAUCUCAGCCAGUAUGAGUGUGAUCUGUUGGCCAAGAAGUUUGACAUCAACCAUGAUGGCAGCGUGUCCUACACAGAAUUCCUCAAGCCUUUUCUAUCCCAGAGUCAAAUAUGGAAGCAUGGAUCCAACAUGGCAGCUGCUCUGCAGACUCCCAGAGAAACUAAAGAAGUUGCCACUCCGGAAACAUUAAGUCGCAAGAUCAGGAAAAAGCUCCAGCGUAAGGCCAGGGCUCUUAGCAAGGCCUGUGCCCGGCUCGAUGGCUCUAGCACUGGGCUUCUGUCUGCAGCUGAGCUGGGUGCUGUGCUACAGCUGUUUGGAGUGUGUCAGAGCCAGGAAGAGCUGAGGAGUGUGCUCUCUACCCUUCACAAACACCCGUCUGGACUCCUGGACUACCGCCCGCUGCUAAUGGACAAACACAGGACAUCCAGUCACAACCAGCAGACCAAGCACCAGCUCAGCCAUAGGAGUCAAUAGGUCAGAGGUUUAAAACAAAUUUUAGCUACAUUGAGAAAUGCAAGAUACUAUUUCAACUAAACAUAUUAACCCAACUGGCUUCAUCCAUAAAUAAAGACGCACA